GUAUGAGACCUAAAUACCCUGUAGACGCCAGAUCCUAUCCCACCUUGAAAGCUAAACAGGGUAAGCCCUGGUUUGUGAUUGGGUGGGAGACCACCAACUAAUACCUGGUAGUGUAGGCU
rnacentral:rRNA from 1 species